rnacentral:rRNA from 1 species
AGCAGGAAAGCAGGGGAUCGCAAGACCUUGCGCUGAUUGAGCGGCCGAUAUCAGAUUAGCUAGUUGGUGAGGUAAGAGCUCACCAAGGCGACGAUCUGUAGCGGGUCUGAGAGGAUGAUCCGCCACACUGGAACUGAGACACGGUCCAGACUCCUACGUGAGGCAGCAGUGGGGAAUUUUGGACAAUGGGGGCAACCCUGAUCCAGCCAUGCCGCGUGAGUGAAGAAGGCCUUCGGGUUGUAAAGCUCUUUCAGCCGGGAAGAAAAUGCAUGGGUUAAUACCCUGUGCAGAUGACGGUACCGGAAUAAGAAGCACCGGCUAACUACGUGCCAGCAGCCGCGGUAAUACGUAGGGUGCGAGCGUUAAUCGGAAUUACUGGGCGUAAAGCGUGCGCAGGCGGUUUUGUAAGACAGGCGUGAAAUCCCCGGGCUUAACCUGGGAACUGCGUUUGUGACUGCAAGGCUAGAGUACGGCAGAGGGGGGUGGAAUUCCACGUGUAGCAGUGAAAUGCGUAGAGAUGUGGAGGAACACCAAUGGCGAAGGCAGCCCCCUGGGUCGAUACUGACGCUCAUGCACGAAAGCGUGGGUAGCAAACAGGAUUAGAUACCCUGGUAGUCCACGCCCUAAACGAUGUCAACUAGGUGUUGGGAGGGUAAAACCUUUUAGUACCGUAGCUAACGCGAGAAGUUGACCGCCUGGGGAGUACGGCCGCAAGGUUAAAACUCAAAGGAAUUGACGGGGACCCGCACAAGCGGUGGAUGAUGUGGAUUAAUUCGAUGCAACGCGAAAAACCUUACCUACCCUUGACAUGUCAGGAACUUGCCAGAGAUGGCUUGGUGCCCGAAAGGGAACCUGAACACAGGUGCUGCAUGGCUGUCGUCAGCUCGUGUCGUGAGAUGUUGGGUUAAGUCCCGCAACGAGCGCAACCCUUGUCGUUAAUUGCCAUCAUUCAGUUGGGCACUUUAACGAGACUGCCGGUGACAAACCGGAGGAAGGUGGGGAUGACGUCAAGUCCUCAUGGCCCUUAUGGGUAGGGCUUCACACGUCAUACAAUGGUCGGUACAAAGGGUCGCCAACCCGCGAGGGGGAGCCAAUCCCAUAAAGCCGAUCGUAGUCCGGAUUGUAGGCUGCAACUCGCCUGCAUGAAGUCGGAAUCGCUAGUAAUCGUGGAUCAGCAUGUCACGGUGAAUACGUUCCCGGGUCUUGUACACACCGCCCGUCACACCAUGGGAGCGGGUUCCGCCAGAAGUAGGUAGCCUAACCGCAAGGGGGGCGCUUACCACGGCGGGGUUCGUGACUGGGGUGAAGUCGAAACAAGGUA